ensembl:lncRNA
AUUUAACAAUUUUUUUUAAUCAAAUGUUUUAUUUGUUAUGCAUUUUAAUUUCCCAAAUGUACGAUGACUCAGUUCCAUUGAUGAGACAAGUCUACAGCGGUUUGGUUCCACAUAGAUUAUAUGACAUGCAGAUAAGGAAACAAAUAUUAUAAUAACUCAUAUUUUACAUUCUCAAACCCCGACACCCUCAAUUUCUUAUUAUUGACAAAGAUCCUCAAACGGACAUAAUGAACAGCAUUUUAUUUGCCUUUUUCUAGCAUCAGUCACAUUGAAAAGUACAGCAACAGUGAGCCACAUAGAGAAUGUUCUAAAAGAAAGGUUGACACAAUGAUUGAUCCCACAACAUUUUCCCUCCACAGGGAACGAUCAAAAUAUAUUUUAGUGCAAAUAUCAAAACAUUGGAAUGUAUUUAAGGUUUUGCGUUCGUUUACCCUUUCACACUAGUGUUAGUUGUACAUUCUUAGUCAGCAGAUCUUAUUACAACAGAAUAUAUGGCUGAAAAGGCACCCUAUUCCCUGUACACGCUCAGAAGAAAAGGUGCUACCUAGAACCUAAAAGGGUUUUACGUCUGUCCCCAUAGGAGAACCCUUUGAAUAACCUUUUAUAGUUCCAGGUAAAACUCUUUAGCGUUCCAUGUAGAACCCUUUUCACAGAGGGUUCUACCUGGAACCAAAAAGUGUUCUCCUAUGGGGACAGCCGAAGAACCCCUUUGGAACCCUUUUUACUAAGAGUGUAGGGCCCUAAUUUUGACCAGGAAUAGGGUGCCAUAGCACUAGCAGGCAGUGGCCGCUUUCUCAAGACUGGACUGCAUGCCCCACUGCAUGGUGGGAGUCUUUCUGUGCACAGUGCUUCGUUUCACACCUCUUUUCGGCAGGACAACAAGCUGGCUAGUUAUGAGCUUAAAAAAUAGCUUGAAGGUGUUAAGCAACAUGACAGAGAUGUAACAGCAGUCCAGUCGUCCUAAUGAAAGUCCCACGUCAAUAUCAAUAACGUCUACAGUUUGACAGACAAUAAAGUUGACCGGAGUGAACUAUUUGACAGGUUUAAUCUGAAACAGGAUGUGUGAUCUAAUCUUAAAACCUGACCACACUAGAAAUCUCCAGAUAUCAUUGCGUGAAAAAAAUGUAUUUGAAGAAGUAAACAUCUCUCUCAGACUAAUUAUACAUUUUAUUGUAUUUAUUAUUAUUUAAUUUUUUACAUUUUCAUGUAUAUAUCAUAUAAUAAUCACUUAUUUUAGAAAUAUCCCCAUACCCAUGUUGAUCGUUUUGACAUGAACAUGAUGUCUGGUAAAACAGUCAAUCCGUCUUUGGACAAAGUAUACCCAUGAAAGUUAAGAUGGAGUGUAGGCGUUACAUACAAGUUUUCCAUGACAACAGAAUAGUUUGUCUCUCCAUGACAACAGAAACUGACUUAAUAAUGCAACAUCAGACCUUUGUUAACCUAUAAAACCUGAUAUCAUUUGUCUUUUCCUUAUCCUGAACCAUAGUCCAAAGACUACUGUCAAAGUACAAGUAAUAUGUUAUAAUUCUUUAGCUUUUCCACCUUUUCAAGUUCACCAGGGCUGGGCUCAAUUCCAUUUCAAAUCAGUCAAACAUAGGAAUGUUCUUGUGUAAUACCAGAGGACACAUAUCUACAUGAUUAAAUCACGCUAUUUGAGAGCUUUAUGAGCCUUGUGUUCUUGGCCUUGCUAAUAGUAUAGGUCCAAAGAACAUCAAUAAAUAUUUAAUGCAACCAAAAUAUCUAGUAAACAUUACCAGAACAAGUAUUGUUUGUGACAUAUAAACUCAUCUACUCUAUGUGGAAAUGAUAAUAGCCCUUUGUAAAAAUAUGUCACAGAGAGAGAGAGACAGAGAGAGAGAGAGAGAGACAGAGGGAGAGAGAGAGAGAGAGAGAGAGAGAGAGAAGGAGAGAGAAGGAGAGAGAGAGAGA